AAGUCGUAACAAGGUUUCCGUAGGUGAACCUGCGGAAGGAUCAUUAUUGAAUUUAUUAAUGAGGAGUUGAGUUGUAGCUGGCCUUUUAACAUUGGCAUGUGCACACUCUUCUCUUUCAUCCACACACCCCUGUGCACUUGUGAGACAGUUAAGGUCCUUUGGGGUUGGGGGGCAGAGCUUUAUUGCAAAACCCUUUUUCCUCUUUGCCUUUGCUGUCUACUCAAUUUAUACACACUCUAAUUGAUUUUAAAACGAAUGUAAUUGAUGUAACGCAUCUAAUACUAAGUUUCAACAACGGAUCUCUUGGCUCUC
rnacentral:misc_RNA from 1 species